UACGGAGGGUGCGAGCGUUAAUCGGAAUUACUGGGCGUAAAGGGCACGCAGGCGGUUAAUUAAGUUGGAUGUGAAAUCCCCGGGCUUAACCUGGGAAUGGCAUUCAAGACUGGUUAACUAGAGUCUUGUAGAGGGGGGUAGAAUUCCAUGUGUAGCGGUGAAAUGCGUAGAGAUGUGGAGGAAUACCGGUGGCGAAGGCGGCCCCCUGGACAAAGACUGACGCUCAUGUGCGAAAGCGUGGGGAGCAAACAGGAUUAGAUACCCUGUAGUCC
rnacentral:rRNA from 1 species